CUUGCAUAUUAUUCCAUGGAAUCUUUUUUGCUUGUGGAUUAAUUCCUCAUUUGUUUAAAUUUGCAUACUGAUCCCUAACAUUACAUCUAUUAGACAUUAUUUCCAGGGGAUAGAGAGUUCACCAAAGGGAUGAACAGAAAUAUUCAUCCAACCACUGUUAACUUAAGCCAAGGGCUAUAUAUGCAAAUAGGAAUUAUAC
rnacentral:lncRNA from 1 species